rnacentral:rRNA from 1 species
CUAAGUUUGAUGGCGACCGGCGCACGGGUGAGUAACACGUAUCCAACCUGCCGAUGACUCGGGGAUAGCCUUUCGAAAGAAAGAUUAAUACCCGAUGGCAUAGUUCUUCCGCAUGGUAGAACUAUUAAAGAAUUUCGGUCAUCGAUGGGGGUGCGUUCCAUUAGGUUGUUGGCGGGGUAACGGCUCACCAAACCUUCGAUGGAUAGGGGUUCUGAGAGGAAGGUCCCCCACAUUGGAACUGAGACACGGUCCAA